rnacentral:rRNA from 1 species
UACAGAGGGUGCGAGCGUUGUUCGGAAUUAUUGGGCGUAAAGGGCGCGUAGGCGGUGCGGUAAGUCACCUGUGAAAUCUCCUGGCUCAACUGGGAGCUUGCAGGCGAAACUGCCGUGCUGGAGUGUGGGAGAGGUGCGUGGAAUUCCCGGUGUAGCGGUGAAAUGCGCAGAUAUCAGGAGGAACACCAAUGGCGAAGGCAGCACUCUGGGACGUGACUGACGCUGAGACGCGAAAGCGUGGGGAGCAAACAGG